GGGAUUGUGGCUCAGCGGUAGAGUGCUCACCUAGCACAUGUGAGGCCCUGGGUUCAAUCCUCAGCAUCACA
rnacentral:tRNA from 1 species